UGGGCGGGCCGAGCGCCCUUGCCGCGCCUAAGACGAUUCUGAGGUAGGUUGGGUGGUUUCGGAAGGAGCCCAUUCUCCCUCUGGGAGGUGACGGAAGCACAAGUAGGUGGCUCGGGUGAGAGUCGACCCCUUUACCCAGCGGAUUUAGUGAGGAUAAAGACCAUAUUGGGUCUUGUUCUUCGUGAUACAACGCCGUAAUUGCCUCGGCUUUUAGCCAGUGCCCUGUCUCAUUGUACCCUUUCGCUUUUCUGAUUUCGUCCCUUUGGGGAGUCUCGCCUUCUCGGUAGACCUGUUGUCCUUCUGUGGUUUUUAUUUCCUGUCUUAGUGUCUCCAGCUCUACUCCCUCAGGUCAAUGGAAUCUGACCGUGAGAAGUUUCUUCAUUAUUCAGACACCAGCUGGAGCCAGAAGGACAUCUACGAAGAACAGUAACCAGGAAGAGAAUUCUACCUGUUCAUUAUAUUCCGAUAUGGACGUUUUCUUUUUGGCUAUUAAAAAAAAAAGGAAACGAAAUUAUCAAGUGGAAAGAAAGGAAAUUACCCCCAGUCAACUCUUUAUGCCUUUUUAUUAUAACGAGAUAUAGUCCUGGAGGCAGGCUUGAAAUGGGUAUGCAGAGCACCAUCAACCCAGAAGUACAUGGGGAUCUUUACUUAAGUUGUGGCUAUCUGUAAUCUCAUCCAUUUCUUUUUGCUGUAGUGUCAAGUUUUGUCAUGAAGUUGGAACUGAGGCGGGAAGCUAAGAAGCUUCAGAAGAAGUUAGAAAUGGUUAUGGAUUUUCGGUUUCACCCUUCUUACCAGAGUAUCUAGAGGGAAUGAUAUGAAUGUCAUAAAUGGCCCAAAGACCUUGGGAAUUAGAGGUCUGAACCAUCCAAAAGAAGCAGGCAUGGAGCAGUUGCUUUCUGUUAGAAAGGGGGUUCAGAGACUGGUUGUGUGAGUUAUGUUGUCUUUUACUUUAAAUUUUGUGUGUGUUGAGGGGAUACAUAGCAUUAUAAGGAGGGAAGAUACAGAAAUCCUAAAUACUGACAGAAACAGCUGGAAGCAGGAGGGGGCUGAGGAAUAGUUUGUGAAACAAAUUCUGCUGAGGAUCAAUCCGGAACUUCCCUGAGGGUUCAGCUUCUGCUGUGUAGGGACUAGGUUGUAAAUAGACAAGCCCCAGGGCAUCUACAGAUGGUUAAGUGUGUUAGAGAGGGGUUGUAGUUGUCUGCUAGUGGAUCUGUGGGAAGCAGGUGCUAUCCUUGAGGAAGAAAAGGUGGAGAAGGAAAGUGGCUAUCAGCCUGUCAGUGACAACAUAUCCUGUGAAGUCUUACUCUUUCAUUUCUGACAGUGUGGUUCUUCUUAUAUCUGUCCUCAACCUGGCAGCCUCAUUGAGGUUCACAAAGCAUCUCCUUCUAUGUGACAGUAAUGUUGAAAUUAUUAUCAGGAUAGAUUCUCUUCUUGCCAGAGUAAAACCAAGAAAAUAAAUCACUUUUUGUUAUCUGCUUAUCAUUUUUUAUAUGCCAUGGGGUUCUAUAUUCGUUAUUAAGUAUAAAGCACAUUGAUAAAUACUCCUUGGUUAAUAUCCUUUAAUAUUCAUGUUUCACAGUUAUCUUUAUUACAUCAUGAUAAAUCUUAUACAAGUAGUAUUUUAAUGAUUUAAAUGCAUAUAUUUUAAUGCAGUGUCACCCAAUCCCUUUUUUAUCCUAUAGAAAAACAGUAUUUUCUAUUCUUUACCUGUCUUAAAGGAAUUUUCCUGUUUCCAUUUCUUAAAAUAGAAGUAUUUGACAAAGAUUCAAAGAAAGGAAAGAGUUAUGAAAGGGGGAAAAAGGUGUGAAUGAUGAAGAUUAAAAAGAAACUCAGUAGUUUUGACAAGGGGGUUGGGAGAAUAAUCAUUGAGAAACGUCUUGGUUGCUUACUAUUAGGACUUAAUUUAAAAAGUUGAAAUGUCCUGACAGAAAUUUUCCCAAAUAUUUAGAAGUGCCAACAGGAAGUUACCUCCUCUCUUAAUACUCACAUUGACCUGGAACUCUUACAACCUUCAAAACAUAUUACUUUUUUCAAAAUUCAGUCCUUAGUUUUUGCAAAAUGUACUGCUUAGUUUCUCCUCUAAGAAACCUUUCACUGUUCUUACUCUCAUUUAAUAAGUGUGAUUAUUACAUGCUUUCUUUUUUUUCUGUCAUUUAUAUUUUUUUUAAAGAGAGAGAGAAUUUUUUAAUAUUUAUUUUUUAGUUUUCGGCGGACACAACAUCUUUGUUUGUAUGUGGUGCUGAGGAUCGAACCUGGGCCACACGCAUGCCAGGAGAGUGCGUUACCGCUUGAGCCUCAUCCCCAGCCCUCCUGUCAUUUAUAUUAUUUUCCAAUAACCACCUAGAGAACUGGGAUCUUGUUUUUGUUCUGUUUUGCCAUUUUCCUCUAUAAGAAAUACCUUAAUGUUGUGGACAAAGAUCAUUUCAGUUAAAUUGCACUUAAAAUUCUUUGUGGACAAGAUGUUAGUUGUCAUAAUACUUUAAAUGAUAAAAAGUAGUUGCAGUCUUACUUAUAACAGUAAGAUUAGUCACAUUCUGUUAUAUAUGCUUAGUGGGAUAUUAUCUGUUUUUAAAAGCCAUUAGACUAGAGUUUCUAAUGGAAAAUGUUUAAAUUUCUAAGUUAAAAGAGCAUUUUAUGGACUAUAUGUUUCCCCCCAAAAUUCAUAUAUUGAAACCCUAAUCCACAAUGACACAACAUAAAUAGAUAGGAACUUUGGAAGGUGAUUUGUCGUGAGGGUGGAGCCCUUAUGAUACAAUUAAUGACUUUAUAAGAAGAGAUACAAGUGAUCAUGUUUUCCCUCUUCUCUCCAUCAUGUGAGGACAAAGUAAGUACACAGCUAUCUGCAGUUCAAGAAUAGGGCCCUGUCCAAAGCCCAUCCAUGCUGUCACUCUAAUCUCUAACUUCCUAGCAUCCAAACUAUUAGAAAUGUAUUCUAUUGUUUGAUCUACCCAGUUUAUGCAGAAUAGUGCUCAGGGUGGGUUUUUGUUUGUUUGUUUAA
rnacentral:lncRNA from 1 species